rnacentral:lncRNA from 1 species
UUGCAUUUGUAAUCAAGGAUGGAGUCAACCAAUGCCGCUUGAGCAGACAUACCAGCAUAACCUCAAAAAUAGUAAGAAACACUAACCAAAUGAGAGUUUUGUUUAAAUAGAUGAAAAACCUGACGCUCAGAAUGAUGGAUUAUUACCAAAAGCUCCUGCUCCUGGUCAGCUCCCACUUUCCUUCCCCCUGAUGGAGACCCGAGAAAGAACGGGAAGUCUCCAGUCACCCUGAAGCUCUGUACUAGACCCCUACUCCUUUCGGAGCACUAUAUAGUCGUGCUGGGCUACUGUGGGUUCAAACAAUGGAUAACAGUCGUCACCCUCAUGUUGUAUGAUUUUCCUCCGCUGGUAAAGAGCCCCACUGUGAACGUUCAAGUGAAAGUGUCCCACCUCCUUUUGAGGCCCCAGCCCCUCACUGUCCUCUGGAACACUUUCUCAUUCAUUCAGACAAUAAAUAAUACAUUGAAUACCUACUAAAUCUCAGGCACUCUUCUAGGUCACAGGGAUAAAAUAAUGAACAGAACGACAUCCCUUUCCUCAAGCAAUUAAUAUUUUUGUAGGUGGAGACAGAAAAUAUAUAAAUAUUGAAGAUGAUUUCAGAUGGCAAAAAGCACAGUAAAGAACGUUAGAGAUUGGAUAGGCUGGAGGACUCCUCGUGAAGAUGACAUACGAGGUGAAGUCAAGCUUCAUCACUCACUGGCCUACCAUCACGGCCUCCUACCUGAGUUUCUGCACAUGUGUGACCGCUCCAAAGUAGCUGUCCUUCAGUGAUCUUUUCAAAAUGUAAAAAUAUUUACCGUAUAACCAGAAAACAGUUAUAGUCGCAGUGGUUCACAUGGUCUCUCACUACAAAGUCACCUCCUUCGUCCCGGUAAACACACUUCUCUUUUAACUCAAAUAUUUCAUAUUUUAAAACUUGAUUUGUUUCCUUUGGUUUUGCAUUUCAAGGUUAACCAUUGUCCAGUGUUCAAGUUUAGCCUUUUGAGGCACGUUUUUCUUGGCAUGGCUCUUAGUUCAAUGUAUGUGUGGUGUGUGUAUCUCUGUGUCUUUAAUACUAUGAGUUUGUUUUCUCGGUUAACAAGUAAACAUGUUCAACUGCUUUAAUUGAUUUUGAGAUAUAUCAUAUGAAUCAUGCUAUUUAUUCUUUUAUUGACAAUAGCUUUCUGUUUCCUUUAUUAAAU